AGCCAGGAAGCGAACGUCGCUUUUAGGUUCGAUCUAAACUCCGGAGGUGUCUCCCUUGGUUA
rnacentral:tRNA from 1 species